AGAACAUAAGCUCGGCAAGGCAGAGACUUGGUUGAAGUGGCCUACCCAUGUCUUCUGAGCCAGAGCUGAGCCCGACAUAGGUCUCACAGGCAAGGUUGCUCUCGCCUCCCCCACGGGAGGAAGCUGGCUGUCAGUCAUCUUCCAAGGUAUGCCACACCUGAGGAUCAUCCAGCAAGAAGAGGUCACCCCAUCAGAAGGGUGGACCCCAGGAGCCAGGACUUGGGGACAAAUGAAUUGAGAAAGUUUAUUUAAUGAAGCAAUCGUGAGAAGAAAAGUUUCCAAUUACACUCCAUUCCCACUUUCAAUCCCAGGCAACUGGAAAAAAAAUUAACUUUUAUACCAUUUUCUACAUGAGGAUAGUCUUUCAGAGAUCUUCAAGGACUCCUUCAAGGCCACGCACCUAGUAAAUGGUGGAGCUGGAACAUGCAC
rnacentral:lncRNA from 1 species